AAUAGAUACCCUGGUAGUCCACGCCGUAAACGGUGGGUACUAGGUGUGGGUUUCCUUCCACGGGAUCCGUGCCGUAGCUAACGCAUUAAGUACCCCGCCUGGGGAGUACGGCCGCAAGGCUAAAACUCAAAGGAAUUGACGGGGGGCCCGCACAAGCGGCGGAGCAUGUGGAUUAAUUCGAUGCAACGCGAAGAACCUUACCUGGGUUUGACAUACACCGGAAACCUGCAGAGAUGUAGGCCCCCUUGUGGUCGGUGUACAGGUGGUGCAUGGCUGUCGUCAGCUCGUGUCGUGAGAUGUUGGGUUAAGUCCGCAACGAGCGCAACCCUUAUCUUAUGUUGCCAGCGCGUAAUGGCGGGGACUCGUGAGAGACUGCCGGGGUCAACUCGGAGGAAGGUGGGGACGACGUCAAGUCAUCAUGCCCCUUAUGUCCAGGGCUUCACACAUGCUACAAUGGCCGGUACAGGAGGGCUGCGAUACCGUGAGGUGGAGCGAAUCCCUUAAAGCCGGUCUCGAGUUCGGAGUCGGGUCUGCACUCGACCCGUGAGUUGG
rnacentral:rRNA from 1 species